rnacentral:ncRNA from 3 species
CUCUUAUCAAGAGAGGCGGAGGGAAGUGCCCUAUGAAGCCCGGCAACCAACACGAAAGUGAAAAGGUGCCAAUUCACACAAAGAGCAAUCUUUGACAGAUGAGUG